rnacentral:rRNA from 1 species
GACGUAGGGGACGAGCGUUGUCCGGAUUCAUUGGGCGUAAAGAGCUCGUAGGCGGUUUGUUGCGUCGGCUGUGAAAUCCCGAGGCUCAACCUCGGGUCUGCAGUCGAUACGAGCAAACUAGAGUGUUGCAGGGGAGACUGGAAUCCCUGGUGUAGCGGUGAAAUGCGCAGAUAUCAGGAGGAACACCGGUGGCGAAGGCGGGUCUCUGGGCAACAACUGACGCUGAGGAGCGAAAGCGUGGGGAGCGAACAGG